rnacentral:rRNA from 1 species
GACGAACGCUGGCGGCGUGCUUAACACAUGCGAGUCGAGCGGUAAGGCCUUUCGGGGUCCACGAGCGGCGAACGGGUGAGUAACACGUGGGCGAUCUGCCCUGCACUUCGGGAUAAGCCUGGGAAACUGGGUCUAAUACCGGAUAUGACCUCCUAUCGCAUGGUGGGUGGUGGAAAGAUUUAUCGGUGCAGGAUGGGCCCGCGGCCUAUCAGCUUGUUGGUGGGGUAAUGGCCUACCAAGGCGACGACGGGUAGCCGACCUGAGAGGGUGACCGGCCACACUGGGACUGAGACACGGCCCAGACUCCUACGGGAGGCAGCAGUGGGGAAUAUUGCACAAUGGGCGAAAGCCUGAUGCAGCGACGCCGCGUGAGGGAUGACGGCCUUCGGGUUGUAAACCUCUUUCAGCAGGGACGAAGCGCAAGUGACGGUACCUGCAGAAGAAGCACCGGCUAACUACGUG